ACUCCAGGCCAAUUAAGACACCUUACACCAAUUAACCAGUUCAGGCCGUUAGGCUACUGGAGACAGCUGGAACCAAUCAAGGUUCCACUUAUACUGUUUAAAAGCUCUCCUUCCAGUUCCCUCAAGGAAGCCCAGGUGAAUAGAGCUGGAGGAAAGGAAGUGUUGCUGAAGCCUGAGGCUGAGAUGGGUUGUACAACAGAAGUGAGAGCUGUCUCAUAAUGGAAGUUGACUGUGGGAGCACUUGUCUGUGUGUGCAUGUAGAGGAAUUGUGGGAAGGCAUGGACAGACUAUCAAAUAUUCAAGUGACUUAACCUGCAUCCUCACGGCAAGUGGGUGGGAUACCAGCCUGAGUGAAGGCGUCACUUGGCUUUUAGCGUGUAACGCCAGAAGAGCUGGCUAGCCUGGAUUGAAGUCUCAAUGAAACUUGGAGGUUUGCCUGAAUGCAGCAACAUUGCCACUCCAAUACAAAAAGCCGUCAUGUACACAAGCCCUCGGUGAUGCAGAAUGUAGAUGUCUGAAUGAGCAGACUGGUGACAAUAUCUCCGUACCCAUAGCACCAUUGUAAUCUGCUGAUUUGCUCUGACAAUCCAGCUACUUCUAAAUUGUAGGAUGAGACUAUGUUGAUGAGAGAAUAUUUCCUUUAUUAAACCACAAACUUCAGAUGGACUCUGUUAAAACUGAAGAGAACCCUUUGGGAUUGCUGUUGAACUGGAAACAUUUUAGAAUGUGAAUUUUUUCUUGACACCUUAUGUAUAAUUUGAAGCUACCAAAUCUGCUAUACCAAGAAUCCAGAAACAGGACAAUUGGAAGAUGCACAAGUGUCAGUCUGACAACUAAACGGAGAAUAACUUUGGGAAGGUCUUAACAAGUAGACAAUAAUGUUUGCCUUGUCUUGGGUUUUAGAGUCUGAAUUAAAACUGUUUGGCUCACUAAUAAUUUUGUGAAAGUAAUCUA